rnacentral:rRNA from 1 species
AGAACGAACGCUGGCGGCAUGCCUAAUACAUGCAAGUCGAACGAACACUUCGGUGUUAGUGGCGCACGGGUGCGUAACGCGUGGGAAUCUGCCCUUGGGUUCGGAAUAACAGUUGGAAACGACUGCUAAUACCGGAUGAUAUCGAAAGAUCAAAGAUUUAUCGCCCAGGGAUGAGCCCGCGUAGGAUUAGCUAGUUGUGAGGUAAGGCUCACCAAGGCGACGAUCCUUAGCUGGUCUGAGAGGAUGAUCAGCCACGACUGGGACUGAGACACGGCCCAGACCUCCGUACGGGAGGCAGCAAGUAGGGAAUAUUGGACAAGUGGGACGCGAAGCCGUGACUCCAGCGAAUCGCCGCGUGAGUGAGU